rnacentral:rRNA from 1 species
UACGAAGGGGGCUAGCGUUGCUCGGAAUCACUGGGCGUAAAGGGUGCGUAGGCGGGUCUUUUAAGUCAGGGGUGAAAUCCUGGAGCUCAACUCCAGAACUGCCUUUUGAUACUGAGGAUCUUGAGUUCGGGAGAGGUGAGUGGAACUGCGAGUGUAGAGGUGAAAAUUCGUAGAUAUUCGCAAGAACACCAGUGGCGAAGGCGGCUCACUGGCCCGAUACUGACGCUGAGGCACAAAAGCGUGGGGGAAGCAAAACGGGAU